rnacentral:rRNA from 1 species
UACGGGGGGGGCAAGCGUUGUUCGGAAUUACUGGGCGGAAAGGGCGCGUAGGCGGUUGGAUAAGUCAGCUGUGAAAACCACGAGCUUAACUCGUGGCCUGCAGUUGAGACUGUCUGGCUUGAGUGUGGGAGAGGAGAGUGGAAUUCCUGGUGUAGCGGUGAAAUGCGUAGAUAUCAGGAGGAACACCGGUGGCGAAGGCGGCUCUCUGGACCACAACUGACGCUGAGGCGCGAAAGCUAGGGGAGCAAACAGG